UUGUUAACAAUGUUUUAGAGCUUUGUGGAUUUUAAAAUUGUAUAAAACUAUACGUAUACAGAAUUUUUUACACUGUUACAUUUGUUCAUUUAAAAUAAAUAUUUUAAUAAAACACUGAGGUCCUAGAGAAUGUUUUCAGCUCCUUUAUUAUACAUGGUACUUACAUCACCAAACUUUGAGAUGCAGAAGAGCGAAAAACACCAUGCUUGGAAACAGACUGGUCUGCUGUGAAAGAGAAACAGAAACAACUUUGCUUUCUGUCAUGUUGGCUUAAUAGAAAUGCCAGUUUAGCAAAAUGAACGUAUUGCCAAGAAUGUGAACAUAGCUGGUGGUACUCUUCAACGAGGUUCUUUCACCUGUUUCUCCCUUGUAAUUCCCGUCACCUUCUCAUGCUUUAUUUGCUCCUGUAUUUAUCACUCCUCUUAGAUCUAUUUUGGUUCUCCACUAUUUUUUUUCUUUCUCCCUUGACUUUUGUGUACAGUUUUAAUCCUUUGCCUCAGCUGCAGUUACAGGUCAGAGGACUUUUACAAAGAGAAGAGACACGAUCAAAUAAAACACCAGUCAUGUAAAUACCUGGAAUAUAGUAAUGGCUCAAAAUGUAUUGACUUUUCUUAGAGAUAACCUAUUCUUACUUUAAAAAUUAGGCAGCCAAAGUUUAGAAAGUUUUAGGCCUAUUUAAUGUCACAAAUUCAGUUAAAGGCAGAAGUAGUUCCAGAUCACACUAAUUUUUCACAUUAAAAAAUACUCUGGGGUAACUGAUAAGACUAUGAAGAUUAAGAUUUUUCUAUCAUUUCUGUGCUACCCCAACAAUCUAUUUUUUGACUGUCCUUGAUGUGAAGUACAACUUUUCUAUUUUAAGAUAUUCUCAUUUGCUGUUCUGCCUUUGGAUAUUCCUUGUAGGUUUGAAGCAUCCUCCAGAAGACAAUUAUGGAUUUAUCCAUUGACAUUCCAACCUUAUUAUUGAGCCUAUUUCAUUUUGAAAUUUUCCCACACUGUAUGCAUGCUUCAGCAUGUUCAUAAUGUAGUGGAUUCUCUAUUUAAUUUACAUCUCUCAGUUCAAUGCACAAGGUUUUGAAAGUGGUUUGACUAUUUCUUCAAUUCACUGUAGAAAAACUAAGCAUUGCAGCCUACAAUACAGAUACAUUGUUACCAGAUAGAAGUAUGAGAAGAAAAAGACAGUAUUUUCAAAUUUCUUGUUCACUGCAAAAAUACCACCAGGUGCCCUAGUAGAAUUAGCAAAUUACUGAAAGGGUAUCCUAACCAAUGAGCUGGAGUUGAGACACUUUAACCAUUGUGAUAAUUAGGUUUCCUCAAUAGGAUUACUCAAAUUUCUAUGAAAAAAGUAAAAGAGAAUGUAACUUAUGUGUGUGUGUGAAAGAAAGAGAGAGAGAGAGAGAGAGAGAGAGAGAGAUCCAGCUUUCAAAGCAAGACAGCUUAGUAUAAUAUAAGAGCUCAGACUUCCUCAUGUAGUUAAGUGGGAGUCACUGACAUAUUUUAAUCACAAUAAUGACAUGAUGGAAUUUUGUUGUAAGAAGAGCACUUUGGCAGCAAUAGAGAGUGUAGACUGUGAGGUAUGAGGCAGUAGGUAAGAAGAUGAGUUUGAAAGAAAAUUCAAUAGCUCAGUGAGCUUAACUAAGGCAAUGCCAAUGGUAUUAAGAGAAAAAUAAUAAGAAAGACAGGUCUUGGUUAUUAUCUAGAGGUAAGAGUGAGGAAAGGCAAAGAGAAAAAUGGAACAUUACUUCCAAGUUUCUAACUUGGUGGUGGCUGGUGGUGUUUCUAAAUCAACUGAGGAGAAGAGGAGUAUGAGUCAAGAAAGUUAGAGUCAAGGACAUUCACUCUGAUAGCCACAAUUUUCUCAAGCAAUGAGGAGGCAAGGGCAUCUUCUUUUUUUUUUUUUUUUUUUUUUUUGAGACGGAGUCUCGCUCUGUCGCCCAGGCUGGAGUGCAGUGGCCGGAUCUCAGCUCACUGCAAGCUCCGCCUUGGUUCCCGCCGUUCUCCUGCCUCAGCCUCCCGAGCGGGUGGGACUACAGGCGCGCCACAUCGCCCGGCUAAUUUUUUGUAUUUUUAGUAGAGACGGGGUUUCACUAUGGUCUCAAUCUCCUGACCUCGUGAUCCGCCC
rnacentral:lncRNA from 1 species